rnacentral:rRNA from 1 species
AUUGAACGCUGGCGGCAGGCCUAACACGUGCAAGUCGAGCGGCAGCGGGAAAGUAGCUUGCUACUUUUGCCGGCGAGCGGCGGACGGGUGAGUAAUGCCUGGGAAAUUGCCCAGUCGAGGGGGAUAACAGUUGGAAACGACUGCUAAUACCGCAUACGCCCUACGGGGGAAAGCAGGGGACCUUCGGGCCUUGCGCGACUGGAUAUGCCCAGGUGGGAUUAGCUAGCUGGUGAGGUAAUGGCUCACCAAGGCGACGAUCCCUAGCUGGUCUGAGAGGAUGAUCAGACACACUGGAAAUGAGACACGGUCCAGACUCCUACGGGAGGCAGCAGUGGGGAAUAUUGCACAAUGGGGGAAACCCUGAUGCAGCCAUGCCGCGUGUGUGAAGAAGGCCUUCGGGUUGUAAAGCACUUUCAGCGAGGAGGAAAGGUUGAUGCCUAAUACGUAUCAACUGUGACGUUACUCGCAGAAGAAGCACCGGCUAACUCCGUGCCAGCCGCCGCCGUAA